AUGGACCGGUGCGGCGCGGGCCUCUACGGCGUGGUCGACGGCGGCGGGUACGCCACGGUGACGUCGGCGCCGCCGAAGCGGCCGGCGGGGCGGACCAAAUUCCGGGAGACGCGCCACCCGGUGUACCGCGGCGUGCGGCGGCGCGGCGCCGCGGGGAGGUGGGUGUGCGAGGUGCGCCAGCCCAGCAAGAAGUCCCGCAUCUGGCUCGGCACCUUCGCCAGCCCGGAGGCCGCCGCGCGCGCCCACGACGUCGCCGCGCUCGCGCUCCACGGCCGCGCCGCCUGCCUCAACUUCGCCUACUCGGCCGCCCUGCUCGCCGUCGACCCGGCCACGCUCCGUACGCCCCAGGAUAUCCGCGCCGCCGCCAUGGCGCUCGCCCGGGCCGCCUGCCCCCACGACGGCGCGCCCUCCUCUGCUCCCGCCCUGCAGGCGGCCUCCGCGCCGGCGCCAGCGAUGGUGAUGAUGCAGGAUGCCGCGGCGGCACCCGUACGACAGCUUCGCCAUGUACGGCGGCUUGGCGGACCUGGACCAGCAUUCCCACUGCUACUACGACGGGAUGAGCGGCUGCGGCGGCGACUGGCAAAGCAUCGCGCACAUGAACGGAGCCGACGAGGACGGCAGCUACGGCGCAGGAGACGUCGCGCUCUGGAGCUACUGAUUGCGUCGGGUCGAUCGAGCAGUUUGUUGCGCUCGAUUUGCUUGCUCCCGAGUCUUCCUCCUGCUCUUGCACAACGCCGGCGUAGGACGAAGAAGAUGAAACAGAGUUGGUCGGGAAGACAGAUCGAUCUGCGCCACGCGCGUGAAGACAAGAUAACGAUCGGCAGUAAGGACUGCUUCAGGGAGGUCGCGCGGUCAGGCACUCGGGCUGAGGUCGGAGGAGAGUGUCGUAUGAGCCCACGCCACUGA
rnacentral:rRNA from 1 species